UAGCAAAAUACAAAUCUUGAUGCGCUUUAAUUCAUAUCUGUUCACAUGCGACCUCUGACCCCAGAUGGAGAUUUGAUGGCAACCAGUAUUUAGUGGAAUCCCAGUUCAGUACAGUAGCCCACAUGCAUACGGAACCGUGCAAGAACUUUGAAUUGAGCUCAAGAACUGUGGCUAUAAUACUGCAUGCUGAGUCUACAGAUCAUUGUAAACUUUAGAUGUCAAUUGUAAACUUCAUAUGUCAUUGUAAACUAUGUGUAGAUUUGAAGUAUCCAGCUCUUCAA